rnacentral:rRNA from 1 species
AUGUCCUCCAGCACCUCUGCCAUCCAAGUGUACAAAAAGAGGAAGGAAAAAGCUCCACUUGUUGAAACCCAGGUGAGAAGAAGUUGUAGAAUUCAGCAAUUCAAUCAUGGUUACAGAAAGAAAACAUGCAUGGAUAGAAACUGCUUGCCUUGCAAUGUUAAUCCUCCUUCAUUACCCAGCAAAGUGGUUAAAAAUCUCUCUAUUGCUUUUUGCAAGAUUCCUGAGAAAGACUGCUCAGAUGAGGCCCUACACCAAGCCAAGAAGAAGAAAGGGAGCAAGGACAAAGAGGUGAAAGAGAAGAACAAGAAGACCCCACAGAAGGGGGGACUGCCCAACCUUGCAUAA